UACGAAGGGGGCUAGCGUUGCUCGGAAUCACUGGGCGUAAAGCGCACGUAGGCGGAUUGCUAAGUCAGGGGUGAAAUCCUGGAGCUCAACUCCAGAACUGCCCUUGAUACUGGCGGUCUCGAGUCCGGGAGAGGUGAGUGGAACUGCGAGUGUAGAGGUGAAAUUCGUAGAUAUUCGCAAGAACACCAGUGGCGAAGGCGGCUCACUGGCCCAUAACUGACGCUGAGGCACGAAAGCGUGGGGAGCAAACAGG
rnacentral:rRNA from 1 species